rnacentral:rRNA from 1 species
UACGGAGGGUGCGAGCGUUGUCCGGAAUCACUGGCGUAAAGGGCGCGUAGGCGGCCGUGUAAGUCACUUGUGAAAUCCCGGGGCUACCAACUCCGGGGCUGCAGGUGAGACUGCGUGGCUAGAGCUUGGUAGAGGCGAGUGGAAUUCCCGGUGUAGCGGUGGAAUGCGUAGAUAUCGGGAAGAACACCGGUGGCGAAGGCGGCUCGCUGGGCCAAUGCUGACGCUGAUGCGCGAAAGCUAGGGGAGCAAACGGG